AUGGUUUGGGUUAGAAGGGGCCUCAAGGACUGCCCAGCUCCAACCCCUGCCAUGGGCAGAGGUGCUGCUCUCUAGAUCAGGUUGCUCCAAGCCCCAUCCAACCUGGCCCUGAGCACUUCCAAGGAUCCCUUCUGCAUUCAGAACCUCUUUGCUCGCCUUAUCCUGCCUUUCCAUUCCCAAUUUACCCAAAUUUGGAUCAUUCCAGGAGUUUCCCUGCUUUUCCUGCCCUUCUCAGGUUCCCCAGCAAAUUGAUUAAUCCAUCACCUGAUGAAUUGCAGCUCUUCUUCCCAGAACAUUUUGAGAGGCUUCCCAGUCCUUUCCCACUCCCCCCCUUCCUGAUGCUUCUGGAAUCCAUCUUUUCAUGAAGAAAAAAGGGCUAACUAAAAUAAUUUUGGUUUGUCACCUCUAUACAGCACCCAUGGAACAACUGACUCUCAUUUAACAUCCCUGUGACUCUUGGAAAAAUAUUUUUAAUCCCUAAAUCUUGUAGGAGCCAAAAAUAGAGCUGUUUAAUCAUGGAGCAGAAGAGAAUAAACCUCUCUCCAGACCCACAUAGUAAAUCCUUUAAGUUUGAAUGCAUUUAUUAGAGAAAAGAAAAAAGUUAUGGAUGUUUCAGAGGUCAGGAGAAAAUGCCUGGGAGACCCAUUCCAGCUGAUCCAUGGAGGUCACUGUUUAUAUUUUUUGCUAUUUAUGUGUGAAAUGUUCUCUGAAUGAAGGGCAUUAUCUGACAAUUUACUGCUGAUUUUCUCCAAAAGGUGGGAAAACAGAUAUUCCAAAGAUCUGGCUCUUCAGGCAAGAAAAUGCGAUUGAAAUAAAUUCAAAUUUUUUGCUUUGUGCCCUGGAUUCCUCCUGGGAGUUGUGGAUGGGUUUUGUGGGUGAAAACAAAGGAAAAAAAGAAGGGAGGCAGCAAGAAAGGAGGGAAUUCAGAGGCAGGGAUUUCCACCCGAGGAAUUGUGUGGGGAGGACACUUCCCCUGUUUCACAACUCUCUCCGUGAUGGCCAAAAAUUGCUCCAAGUGAUGCCUUUGAUACCAGCUCUGUGUUUAUCACCUGGAAUUUCUGAUUUCCCUCUUGUGUAUCCCAUGGAUGGGGACAUUUGGGAAGCAAGAAUGGCAAAGAUCUCAGCAAUGUGUGGAAGGAAGAACAGCAGGAGGAUCCUGUAGGAAUGAAGAUUGGUUUUUAUGUUAAUGUUCCCUCCGUGUUAAUUAAUGUUCAUUAAGGACUGAGGUUAAAUAAUUUUAGGGAAGCAGGGAUCUGUCUCCAAAUCCUGGAAGAUCCCUGUUUUCUAGUUCUAAACUUUAUCUGCUUUCAGACAGUCCUGAAAUAAUAAUAAAUCAUAAUAAAUAAUAAUAAAAAUAAACAAAAUAUAAUCAAGAAUAAAGAAUAAUAACAACUCAUAUAUACAAACAAUAAUAAAUCAUGUAUACAAAUAAUAAUAAAUAAUAAUUAAAUAAUAAUAAAUAUUAAAAAUAAUAAUAAAUGGGAAGGCCAAGCCUGGGAGCUUUGGGAAGUUUCCCCUGGGGAUGUGGCCAGGAAAAGGAUGUCCCUCUGAAAGAAUAUUUGGAGAAAAUAUUCCUGUUUUUUUCCUCCUCAAGGAGAGGUGGGGGGGAUUUAGGAAAACUCUCAAUUUUCCUUGAAUAUGUUUUCCUUGUCUUUCCUUGUAUUGGUAUUUCCUUGUAUAUGUUUUCCUUGUAUAGCCACCAGUUUUUGGGGAUAGUUUUAUCAGAGAUGGGAGUUUGGGUCCUUCCUACAACAGGGACAUGGAAAAUCUUUGCUGAGAGAGCUUUUUUCCCUCUGGAAUGGGAAAAAUGAUGUAGGUUUGUAGAUGGGGUCUUAUAUUUCAAUCAUAACAAACCUUACAAGGUCCUGAAUCCACAGAAUUGGGACCAAAUAAGCGGCAAGAAAGUUCAGAGUUUUCUGUUGUUAUUUGCUCUGAUCCUUUUUUAUAGGAGCAUAUUUUUAUAAGCUUUUGGAAAAGUAGUUUUUGAAGCAAAAGAAAAAAAUAAAUCAUGUUUGGACACCUCGAUUUCUUCUUGAAAGCAUUCCAGAACUCUACUUUUAGGUUGCUAAACCAGAAUAAAAAUAAUUAUCACACAUGACAAUUUGCAAAAGCUUUUAAUUAUCAAAACUCCCAGGGAAAAAAAAAAAAAAAAGGAAAAAAAAAAGAAAAGAAGUGAGGGAGGGAGGAAAAAAAGCAAAAAUCUCAAGAAAACUUGCAACAGGUUUUCUCUAAGCAUGGGUGGAGUGGAAAAAGUGAGCCAAGAUAAUUACCCACACUUAGUCAUAAGGAGCAGGAAACACAGUAAAAGAAAAAAAAUCUAAUUGGGGCUGUUUUUCAUAUAUAUAUUAAGGUGUUAAUUUCCAUCACAUCAUACAAUGCAAGAACUUGGGAUGUGGAGUGCAGGAUCCUUUGCCUGCAGAUGAAAUGAUAGAAAAAAGGCAAAUCCAUGUGCAGAUGUUGAUGUGCCCACAAUUAAAUAUCCACAGAGCAGCUCGGGCAGCAGUCUGUGCUCCUGGAGGGUUUUUUUCCUUUGCUUUCAGCCAAAAGUUGCUGCCCCUUGGACACAAAAACAAGAGACAAGAGCAGGGCUGCAAAGCCACCAGGCAGGGGAGGUGACACAGAGAGGUCCCCCCCCGUUGGUCACAGCCCAGGUCUGAUAGGUGAAGGACAGCCACAAACCCUCAGGGUCCCUCAGAACGACCACAACAACCCCCAGCUCCUUCAGAAAGAAAUGGAAAAUUCAUCUUUGUGCCACAGGCAUCCCUUUUUUCCCCCACAGGAACACGACAUGCUCCUCUUUGGAGGGCUCCAAAUCUGAGUUCUGAUGUUCUGAAACGAUUUCAUUGUGAGAGGAGUUUGACCCAUCAGUUGUUUUCAGCUUCCAAAGGAUUGUUCAGACCCCUGGAAGGCAGAAGGGAACUGAAAGGAGGAGAACUUGGGAUUGCCAGCACUGCAGAGGAGGAGGAGUUCAGGAAAACCAAUAGAGGAGUGUUCUUGUGUCUCAGGCCUGAAGGAUUGCUCUGCCUGCCCAACCUGUGAGGAGAGCUCACUAACCCUCUGUAUGGAGUUCAGAGUCCUGCACUAACGCAGCACAGGAGCUGAAAAAACCAAAAGCUAAAAGCUGAAGGCAUCGCCCUGCCAGGGCUGUGGGGCUGACACGUCCCCAGGGGUUUGUUGUUCCAGAGGGUGAUGGUGCUCCAGGCCCUGCUGGAGAAAUCCCUUUUGCAGAGAUGUCAGCUGGAAAGUCACCUCUGAGCGAGCGUGGAAAAAAACCAGAGCUAAAAUUAGCCAUGCCCAGCACUGGGAAUGGCAGCACAGGUACCUGUCAGGGACAGCAGAGGCCUGGCUGUCUCCAAAGAGUCUCAGGAACACCCUCUGAGUCACUGGGCUCCAGAUGCCAAUCAGCCCUGGCAAUUAGGGAUCCUAAUUUCCCUCCUAUCUGCUCCACUGAGGGAGGUGAUUUUCACUGUUUUAUUCUUCAUCUUCCACACCAGCAAAAGAAGGAGGAUUAAACCAAUCCAAAUUUGAUUCCCAAAACAACAAACUCCCCAGGUACUCUUUGGGAUUAAGAGGAUCCCUUUGGUAGAACAGCUAUGAGAACUUCAGCAGUGACAUCUGUCAAAAAUGGGCCUGAGGAGAGGUCAAAGCUGCUGGAUAUUGGCAGAGGAUGCAGGGCCUGGCUCCUACCUGAGGAUUGUUCAGGGCCCUGGAAGGCAGAAGGGAACUGAGAGGAGGAGAACUCGGGAUUGCCAGCACUGCAGAGGAGGAGGAGUUCAAGAAAACCAAUAAAACUCCUGCUGCUCCUUCCAGUUGGAGAUAGAGGAGCCCCUUUGUGCCAGACAUUGCCAUGACCUCAGAGCAUGGAGUGCCAGGAGAGCCUUUCCCACAUCCAUGGGGAUUUCCAGGGUGUGAGGAGCUGAACAUCUCAGUGUUGAUGUGUUUGCAGGUCCCAGGACGAGGGAAGAGAUGAAUCUGACUCCAUAUUUCUUAGAAGGCUGAUUUAUUAUAUUAUGAUAUUAUAUUAUAUUAUAAAGUGCUACACUAAAGCUAUACUAAAAACAAUAGAGAGAAAAGAAUACAUCAGAAGGCUGGGAAAAGAAUGAAUAAUAAAAACUUGUGACAGACUCCGAGAGUCCAACACAGCUGGCUGUGAUUGGUCAUUAAGUAAAGACAAUCCACAUGGACCAAUCAAAGAUGCACCUGUUGGUAAACAACCUCCAGACCACAUUCCACAGCCAUCAGACAGUUAUUGUUCACAUUUCUUUUCUGAGGCUUCUCAGCUUCUCAGGAGAAAAAUCCUGGUGAAAGGAUUUUCAUAAAAUAUCAUGGUGACACCCCAGGUCCUUUGGAUGGAACCCCAAAGAUCAGCAGCACAAACCCUGGUUUGUCACAUCCACAAACCCCAGGCCUUGGCUGCCAACCCAAAUCUCUCUUUGGGCCUGCUCUGGAGGAUUUGCAGCUGGAAGCUGGAGAUGGGAGGACCAGGCUGUGAGAUUCCAUUUGGAGUUGUGCUCAUUGCAUGGGAAAAACACCUGAAUGCUCUUGAGCUGUGGCAGAAGCUCUGGGACAAGCCCUGCCCCACCCUGGCAGUGCCCAAGGCCAGGCUGGACAAGGGUAGGAGCACCCUGGGGUGGUGGGAGGUGUCCCUGCCAUGGCAGAGUUGAGUGGGAUAAAUUUUAAGGUCCCUUCCAACCCAAACCAUUUCAUGAUCCCAUGAAAACUUGAGCUGGAUGGGUCUCUUUUGUUCUGCCAUCUCUUCCACAUUUAUUCCAAGUGUUUAUCCAUCCUCAGCCUCCUCCAUUUGACAUCUGAGGGCUCCACAGUGCUGCCCACCCUCCCUUGGAUCCAUGUCUCCAGCAUCACUCCAAACUCCGUCUGCCCAACUGUUCCACCAUCACCUCGUAGGAGAAAACCAACUUUCAACCCAAAGCUCUUGUUUGAAUUGGAGAGAUUAAGGGUGGAUGAGGAAAACAGCAUCAUCCUCCCGGCCAGACAAAGUGAAACUGUGUUUUAAUCACAAAGAAAGGCAGAUGUUUCCACCUCAGGAACAGAGAUUUUGGUUUGAUCAAAGGCCCAGAAGGGUUGGAGGUGUCUCACUCCUGGCUGGGAGUUAUGAAAAUAAUGGGCAUGCAAAAACAAUGGCAUGGCAAACAGUCAAAAUAGCAAAGAUUCAUAUUAAUUUAUUCUUAAAAAUUAAGAUUUUAAAAUAAGAGUUUCAAAAGUUGAACAGAAUAUUUUUUAUUCCAUUGUUUUUCAAACACUGCAGGUCAGACAAACUGCUCCAAGUAAUGAGGUUUUUGCAGUGAAAGUGAUAAAAGAAAAAUGCCUUGCAAUUGUUUUAGGCAAGAAAAAGUUGAGAGGUUUAAGUAAAAUUUGCAACAAAGUACUGAUGGUGCAGGCACUGGUUUUAUCCUACAGAACUGGUACCAUCAGUUUGCUGAAAAGUUAAAAAAAUUAUUCUUAUCAAUUCUUGCAGCCAUUUCCCAACAUUCCAUUCUAAGCAAAACUUGAUGAUUUCACCAUUUCCCUCAGAAAACUACAAAACCUCAUCUCCUCCAUCUGCUUUUACUUUGAGCUACAAAUAUGUCCAAAAGAAGAAGAGUGAUGCCUCCAAAAAAAUAUUCCUGAAGAAAAAAUUAAAAAAAAAGAAAGAAUUCUCGAUAAAAACUCGAAGUUGCCUGUAAAUCUUCCCAUCCCACAAAAACUUGAGUUUUCCAAAACAAUUUUGUGCAGUAGGAAUAAAUUUUGUAGAGAGAAGAACAGACCCACCCAAGAACAUCCAAUAACCCUGUGGUGAAAGCUCUGAUUUGGGAUCUCAGCUAUUCCAACCCAAAUAUUCCCCCUGUCUGCUGGAGAGGACUCCUCCUGCCUAAAGCCAGGAGCUACCCUGGAUCUGGGAAGCUUUGCUCCAAAUG